rnacentral:rRNA from 1 species
GAUGAACGCUAGCGGCAGGCUUAAUACAUGCAAGUCGAGGGGCAGCAGGACCGUAGCAAUACAGUUGCUGGCGACCGGCAAACGGGUGCGGAACACGUACGCAACUUACCCUUGUCUGGGGCAUAGCCCACCGAAAGGUGGAUUAACUCCCCAUAAGAUAGUGGUGUGGCAUCACACAGCUAUUAAAACUGAGGUGGACAAGGAUGGGCGUGCGGCUGAUUAGGUAGUUGGUGCGGGUAACGGCCCACCAAGCCUGCGAUCAGUAACUGGUGUGAGAGCACGACCGGUCACACGGGCAAUGAGACCCGGGCCCGACUCCUACGGGAGGCAGCAGUAAGGAAUAUUGGUCAAUGGAGGCAACUCUGAACCAGCCAUGCCGCGUGGAGGAUGAAGGCCCUCUGGGUUGUAAACUUCUUUUACAGGGGACGAAACACUUCUAUUCUUAGGAGCUUGACGGUACCCUGGGAAUAAGCACCGGCUAACUCCGUGCCAGCAGCCGCGGUAAUAC